GCAGCAUCUGCCUUCCGUGGCCAAUUGUCCUCUUCAACCCCUAAAUCGUACACCUCCUCUGACGACUGCUUGGCUGGAACUCUGGCAGUGAAAACACAAACUCAAAUUCACAUUUCAUACCAUUGAUCCAUACAGGGCAUCACUGUA